AAAAAUGCGUUGAUGAGGACAGUAAGCUAAAAUCUUAUUUUUCAGAGAGAGAAUAUACUGGUGUGAGUAUUCUUAAAUAAAUUUAGACUGAAAACCACCUCUGAGCGGCUCUAAUAAAGCCCGUAUUUAUCACGUUACGAUAAAUUUAAGUGACCUAUUAUUUAUGGUUAUUUUUAGUAGUCUUUAUAUCAUCACAUUUUUAAUAUUUAGACUAUUUUAAUUAGCACGUUUUAGGUAAUUAGAGUGGAACCACGGAUACUACUUCGUCUCUAUU
rnacentral:ncRNA from 1 species